rnacentral:tRNA from 1 species
GGGGUUGAUCGGAAUUCGGGAGGAUUUUGAAUGGCAUUCAAGAGGUCGUGGGUUCGAUUCCCUCCAGCUCCA